rnacentral:rRNA from 1 species
GAUGAACGCUGGCGGCGUGCUUAACACAUGCAAGUCGAACGGAAAGGCCCUGCUUUUGUGGGGUGCUCGAGUGGCGAACGGGUGAGUAACACGUGAGUAACCUGCCCUUGACUUUGGGAUAACUUCAGGAAAUUGGGGCUAAUACCGGAUAGGAGCUCCUGCUGCAUGGUGGGGGUUGGAAAGUUUCGGCGGUUGGGGAUGGACUCGCGGCUUAUCAGCUUGUUGGUGGGGUAGUGGCUUACCAAGGCUUUGACGGGUAGCCGGCCUGAGAGGGUGACCGGCCACAUUGGGACUGAGAUACGGCCCAGACUCCUACGGGAGGCAGCAGUGGGGAAUAUUGCACAAUGGGCGGAAGCCUGAUGCAGCAACGCCGCGUGCGGGAUGACGGCCUUCGGGUUGUAAACCGCUUUCGCCUGUGACGAAGCGUGAGUGACGGUAAUGGGUAAAGAAGCACCGGCUAACUACGUG